rnacentral:rRNA from 1 species
UACGUAGGUCCCGAGCGUUGUCCGGAUUUAUUGGGCGUAAAGCGAGCGCAGGUGGUUUAUUAAGUCUGGUGUAAAAGGCAGUGGCUCAACCAUUGUAUGCAUUGGAAGCUGGUAGACUUGAGUGCAGGAGAGGAGAGUGGAAUUCCGUGUGUAGCGGUGAAAUGCGUAGAUAUAUGGAGGAACACCGGUGGCGAAAGCGGCUCUCUGGCCUGUAACUGACACUGAGGCUCGAAAGCGUGGGGAGCAAACAGG